AGCAGCCGCGGUAAUUCCAGCUCCAAUAGCGUAUAUUAAAGUUGUUGCAGUUAAAAAGCUCGUAGUUGAAUUUCGGGAUCAAGGAAUCGGUCAUGCCUCGGUAUGUACUGGUUUUAUUGGUUCUCACCUUCUAAAGAACCAUGAUGUCAUUCAUUUGAUGUUAUGGGGAAUUAGGACUGUUACCUUGAAAAAAUUUAGAGUGUUUAAAGCAGGCUUACGCUUGAAUACAUUAGCAUGGAAUAAUGAAAUAGGACAUCAGAUUCUAUUUUGUUGGUUUCUAGGAUCGAUGUAAUGAUUAAUAGGGAUAGUUGGGGGCAUUAGUAUUCAAUUGUCAGAGGUGAAAUUCUUGGAUUUAUUGAAGACUAACUACUGCGAAAGCAUUUGCCAAGGAUGUUUUCAUUAAUCAAGAACGAAAGUUUGGGGAUCGAAGACGAUCAGAUACCGUCGUAGUCUUAACCAUAAACUAUGCCGACUAGGGAUCGGAUGAUGUUUAUUUUUUAGUGACUCAUUUCGGCACCUU
rnacentral:misc_RNA from 1 species